UCCCGCUUUGGGCCCCCUACAUGUUGGAAGUGGAAUUGUCCUUUGACAUUAUACGUUAUAAGUUUGCUAGAUCGGGUAGCAGAUCGGUAGUUCAAAUGAACUGGACAAUGUAAUGUAAUGGACAAUUCCACUUCCAACAUGUAGGGGGCCCAAAGCGGGAAAGGUUCUCUAGUGUCGCUUUAACAGUGAUUGACAGAUG